ensembl:lncRNA
CGAGUGGAGACGGCGUGCCGGCUCCAGCAGCACACCCUGGGCCUGCUGCAGCGCGGAGCUCCAAGCAAAGAGGUGAGAAGGUGCUGUGGUACCCGCCGUGCUGAAGCGCUUCCCUGUGCGAGCACACUGACUUUGCUUUGCUUUUUCCUUCUCUGUGGAGGGGAAAAGAGUGGAAGGCUGACAAGUCCAAAGGCAGUGAGGUGCCAGAACGUGUAACCCUG